GAGUUGUGUGAGAGAAGGUUAGCACUCAGGAUGGAGGAGGCCCUUGGGCCUAACAACUCGCAUAUGAUUAAGGCACCUACUUCGUGGCAUCUAACCACUGUUUUUA
rnacentral:ncRNA from 1 species